UCAGUCUCGGGCAUCCCCUUCCUCUGCCAUGUGGGUCCACAGCGUGGUCAUCGUCGGCUUUGGAAAGCAUCAUAGAAGAAUUAAAUUCAAAGAAGGAGUUGAGUUCAUAAUGUUCUGGUAAGUUCACAGCCCAUCUCCAUAGUACUCAGAUAUAAAGGAAUCAUUUCAGUUGGAAGCAAAAACCCAAUAACUUCAGAAUCGUCAACCUGCAUAAAUAGAAAUGGAAGCAAAGUAAAUAUUCCUAUGAUCCACCAGGAUACCCUCUAAAAGAACAUCAUUUUCAGCUAGGUCGAAGAGUACCUUAGAGGCUCAUAUCAAACUUCUCCGCCACCUAAAGAGUUUUGUCGAUCCCAUGGUGACCAUUAGGAAGAAUCUUGACUCGAGUAUUGAGAAAGUAACACUAACUACUAACCAAAAAAGGUCUCAUAAUUUGCACUCAUUUUAGUUUCCAUUGGCAAUCUAAAUUCUAUGGGCUUGGUAAAAUUGUUCCUUUUCUGUCCCUCGACGCCAUAGCUAUUGCACCUGCCCAGUUUGCAAGAUGUUUCGGAGCAUCACCUAUGUCUGUCCAUGUAGUCCUUUUGUGACCAUGGCGGCAGAAAAUGCUGCAGAAAUUGGUCCUCUUACUCAAUCCUUCCUAAGGGGCUUUCUCCCUGCUGGUCAUUGGCCAGUCAUUCUCUUUCCUUGUAGCUGGUAGCCUGGCACUGAUAGUUAUGCUAACCUGUUUCCUAGUAUAUUACUGAAACAUUGUCACCACUACCAGCAUUUGCUGGAUGCUCUUGAGUUUUGCGAUCUACACAUAGUAUGUAUUUUCAACAGCUUGACAACUACUCCAUUUUCAGCAAGCCGGUCUUCCAAACUAAGCCCAUCUCUCACCUCAGCAAAAGGUUUCAUGUCCACCAAAUUUGCCUUCAACAAAUAAACCAGACAAUCGUACGCAUCAAAAUUUGUGUCCCCAAGCCGAAGAAGCUCUAUGCACAUUCUGAAGUGCAUGUAGGAGAACAGAUUAUAUGCAAUUGGUUCCUAUGUUGUGAGCAUCGCUUCACACGCAUGAAGUCCAGUACCUGCCAUUAUUUAUCACUGAAGUAAGUUCACUCUCUCACACAACCUGAUAUAUUCUGCUGCAUACAAAUAAACAGCGAGCAAAGCGCACAAGAUCAUACCUCCAGGACAUGACUUGUGUUUCUCAAUCUCUUCAACUUUGGUAUGCUCCACAGUCCACACUCAUACAAGAUCUAAUUUUCAUCAAACAUAGCGCUUGUGUGUGUCUUGAUCGCAUGCCAUUCAGUGGCCAGGUUAGCUCUCAUUAGCGGACUCCCCUAUAACAAUUAGAUGCAAAUCACAUAGUAAAACUCAAUAGUUCUACUAAUAAAAAUGAAUGUGCUCACAGCAGCAACUAUGUAUUUCUUUCAUAAAAAAUCAACGUACAUUUCUUGUCAUCUCCUCGACAUAGUUCUCCUCAGACUCACUGUCAAAUUGCAGCCUCAUGUACUUCUUAGCCCCUGUGCUCUGAUCUAAGCAAUUUAUUAGAGCAGGGUACCGGCAAGAUCGUGUGUUUUACGCACCUGCUUUACCCUGCAUGUUGUCAACAUGAGAAAAAAAUGCUUCUUAGAACUCAACUCACACACAUCCACACACUGUCCAAAAACUGAAAUAUGUCGCACUGAAAUAAAACUCACCACAUAUGGACACACUAUUUCCUAAUUACAUUUUGUCCUCUCAACAUUUGACCUGCAUUUCCAAUAUCUGAUCCCAAAACCUUUCUCCCAAGUGAUUAGAUUGUAAAAACCACACGCCUCUCUCAUAAAGAGUCAGAACUUGUCCCCAGCACUGGUACAAUCACAUUAUGUAUUGGAUCGUUAGCGAAUGCCCUUAUCGCUUUCUCAAGAGAUGUCGCCCGAGAAGGGCAUGGUGCGCCGAUGCAAUCCUUACUAUGCACCCAUGUUUCCUAUUGCUCAGCUGAAAUCAACCUAAAAGAUCAUGUCCAUUAAAUUAAAUCGACAUACAUGCAUUUCUGAACUUUAUAUAAUUCAUCAGUGUCACAUAGCUAAAUUACAGUUAUUCCACGGUAGAAAUAGCUGCCUCAACUAAAUAUCCAUCAAAAAACUUCCCAAAAGCGAGACUGUCAUUAGUAGUACAACUGUAUUUCUACUAGUUACCUUGCAUUGGAUUCAAUCAAAAAAAUAUUAUCCUCAGAACAAGCUCAGCAUACAGACGCAAAUCUAUCUGUAGACUGCUAGUACACUCAAUACCGAUAUAACGUACUGAAUCAUUAAGGACCUGUACCAGGCGAAUUAAAAUCGGUAAGUUUUACGGGUUAUGUGCAAACCAAUCUAGCCCGGCUGCCUGGGGUUCAUCUUCCCAGUCAAUAGCUUGGAGACCCGGGGUGAGAUCGCCCUUCCUCUGUACACCCUGGUUUCUUCCUCGCAGAACUGUGCAUCUAUGUUCACAGCUGCUUCCGGCGCUUGUUCCAGUUCCCCUAUUACUGUCGUCCACCUCUUCAAGCCCAGAGAAUAGAGCAGAGAAAUAGUUAGUAGAAAUCACACUAAGGAUAAUAGCAACAAAGAUUAACUAACCCGCUGAUACGCUCCAUUACGGUGGAAAUGUCCAGCAGCUCCUGAGUUAAUAUCUCUCUGCCACCAUUGAACGGAAAUCAGUUUUUCAUGUUCCAUGGACCAGAUUAAAAUUGUGAGGUAGCCAGAAGCAGUAAGGAGGACAUGUAGCUAUGUGCAUUGCCGGAAGGAGUAAGGGGUCGGGCAGUGGCGGACGGUGAAGACGUGGGAUCUUGCGGGGACCGUGGAGGGGUGGAUUGAACGAAGGUGGCUGCGGUCGGUGGAGGUGCGGGAUCGAGUGGAUCCGAGGUGCUUCCCUCGCCGCGAGCCGUCGCCUCACUGCCUCCGAUGUCCGUGCCUUCGACGUGGACGACUGCGGUGAUGGAGAGGAUGACGAGACCGGCGGAGAUGAGUCCUGCGGAGCGAGAUCGGUGUCCGGCGAGGCGUCGUGCAGAGGGGGCGCGGCCGGCCAGGACCGAGAGGCCGAGGAGGUGAUGGGGGCGGGAGCAGAGGCGGCGGCGCGGAUCUGGUUGGCUGCAAGAACUCCGGAAAAUCGGGGGUACUCCUAUAGUCUAAAAAACGAAACAGAAACGAUUGAGAUAAGAAAACCAGUAUAAAAGGGAUGGUGGGAGGUGGGAUGAAAAAAACCGAACGAAAAUUAACCGUGGAACGGAGAAUAUCAACUGAGACAUUAGGAGACUCCCAGUCAAUAGGAUUUAGUUUUUAAUGGGAGGGAGAAAACCAGUGGGAGAUGGGACGAAUAAAAACAUACAAAAAUAAACUGUACCAGGCUACCAAGUGCAUUGAUGACUCAAUUUCUGAAUUGAUUCGGUGCUAAAAAAUUCAUAUUAAAUGGAUAUAAUUAAUUGCAUACAUAACUAACUAUCUGGCUAAAUAACUGCGUCGAUGGUUUGAUUUCCAAAUUGAUUUAGUGCUCGAUUUCUAAAAUAUUGUCGCAUGAAUGGUUGCUACAAACGACGACGACGACGACUACCGAGUAAUGUAGGACAUAUGACCUUAACGAAUUUCUUGACAUUUAAAUAGACACACUUGAUUUGAGAAUGUAGCCUGUCUGACUCUUUGGGGUGUUAUAUAAACAUAAUGCAUGUUAAAUUUCAGAUGUAGAGAAAAAAGCACAGGCAUAAUUUGAUAAUAAAUAAAGUCCACUUUACAUGUAAUGUAAAUUGAUAAAAAGGCACUUUGACGAUGUAUACAUAGAGUGAUGAUCCAACUAAAAAUCUGUUACAAAUUAAGAUCUACUUGAUGCGUUUAAGUAAUUCUCGCACAAUAUUAGAAAUGUUAUUUUUAGAUUCAUUCGCAUAAUAUUUGAGCAAGUAUAUAAAGAACUUAUAAUCAAGCAAUAUAUGAAUACUUCACAUCGAAGGUCUUACAAUGUGUAACGAAGAAUACUCACCACGCAAACCGGAUGAACCAGUCUUUUACCGUUCCAUCAGAGCAUAAAAUAAAAAACAAAAUGGCCAGACACAUCCUCGCAAUUUCCUAAAUUAAUAUUAUCUUGAAUAUAGUGAAAGCAAAAAUAAAUGCUUGUGUUUUGAAUGUCAUGAUAAUGAAAUAUAUAAAUUUACCGUCCAUGCUCGAUCGAAUACCAGGCGGAAAUAACCGUUGUAAUUUAUAGAUAUAUUGGAAUUUCAGCCGUGUUGCUUUAUUUCGAAUUUUAUUCUUGACUACUUCUUUUCAUCAUUAGAAGCUGAGAUCAAAAAUACAUUUCCUGACAACCAAAAAAAAGAGUAGUGACAGCUUAGAUCUGCUAGGGAUAUAUACAUGAUCAAUUUCGAAUAUUCGGACCAACAUUCUAUGAGGUGUCCGAGUUGCAAAUUAACACACCCAAAAUUUGCAAGGCUGAGAGAGGGGUAACUACCAAGCAUCACCCUAUGUUGAUCAAAGAACAUCAGUAUAUGCACUCAAACACUACAGUGGAAGUGUGUUGAAUCAGAUGUGGACUUGCAGUUUUGUUGCAUUUUUAUGUCUACAUUUGAUCCAAUCUAGCAUACACUAAUAAUAGCUCUAAUAUAGUCCCAUCUUAUCACCAAGGAUGACACUUUUACUGAUAUAAAAUCUAUAGCAUCAGAAGUUAACAAGAAAACAAAUUCAAAGAACGAACCUGGAGACGGAGCGUGCUCAUCAGUUGUCACCGCCAUGUUGGCGGCGUGUGGGGAUCCGAGGCGACUGCGGUGUCCUGGUGAUCUGCGACGGCGGCAGGGCCGGUCCUGAGAUUUUGGGGGCCCGGGGCGAAACGAAAACAUGGCCCCUUAAUGUAUACGUACAAAAAUAGUCAAUAUAUGUAAGUAUAUUGAUAUGCUUGGGCAAAGUUACAAAGCCACACAACAUACAAGAUCAACUAAUAUAAUUUUACUAAUUAUUAUGGCAUACUCACAAACCAAUAAUUUUCUAGUACAGUCUAUCCUUAGGUAAUGUACAAUCAUUUGAUUAUCAAUGGUCAUAUUGUAACAAUGAACUAAAAGAGUGUCCGGAAAAUUAUGACAACAAAUCUGGGAGACAUGGCUAAAGGAAAACCUAUGAUUGAAGUGCUCAGACAAGAAAAGUGAGGCAAGUGAUGCAGAAAAAUCAUUAUGAAUAUUUGGACCUAUGUUCUCCAAGACAUGUAUACAAGUCAGAUGUUCUUAUGCAAAAAGUGAGCAACCAUGAGUAAGUUAGUACUGCCAGUACAACGCUCACUUGCGCUAGUUAAUACCAACUUAACAGUAAAUGGCAAACAAUAGACACCGAAUAUAUUAAUCAGCUAGAUAUUUGAAGAGAAAAUGCAGUCUUACCUUCCGUUAGGGGGGUAGCCACCAAGAGCAUGGACUUCAACCACACAGCAGCAGCAGCAGCGACUACAGGCAGAAGCUUUGCCAUGAGAGGCAACCUGUCUCCACGGAUGACAACAAGACCAUCGCAAGUUCAUAAUCUUGAUGCCCGCGGCGGAUGGAAAGGCGAAAGAACUCAAAGAAGUACGAGGAAGAGCGGACCGGCGGUGGCAUCGUGGAUAGUCAGAUCGGAAGGAUGAAUCGAGGAUGGAAUAGGCCCUGAUUAAUCGCGACCUAAUUUUCAGCGUGNNNNNNNNNNNNNNNNNNNNNNNNNNNNNNNNNNNNNNNNNNNNNNNNNNNNNNNNNNNNNNNNNNNNNNNNNNNNNNNNNNNNNNNNNNNNNNNNNNNNNNNNNNNNNNNNNNNNNNNNNNNNNNNNNNNNNNNNNNNNNNNNNNNNNNNNNNNNNNNNNNNNNNNNNNNNNNNNNNNNNNNNNNNNNNNNNNNNNNNNNNNNNNNNNNNNNNNNNNNNNNNNNNNNNNNNNNNNNNNNNNNNNNNNNNNNNNNNNNNNNNNNNNNNNNNNNNNNNNNNNNNNNNNNNNNNNNNNNNNNGGCGGCGGCGUCCCGCCGAUCCGCGACGGCGGCGACGUCUCUUAGGAUCAGCAGCGGCGGCAGAUGGGAGCGGAGGGGGACCAGAUGGCGGCGGCGGAGGAAGACGGCGCCCUGCCCUGCCCUUCCCGGGGUUCUGCGGCGGCGGCGGCCCACAAGUGGGGGGCCUCAGAUCUUAGCGGAGGCGGCAGAUGGCGGCGGAGGAGGAAUACAUCGAGCACACGGGGGGAAUUUUUGUGGGACGCCCAAAAACCAGUGCGGGAGUGGUGGUGGGAGGUGACGAAAAAACCGACGAAAAUAAACUGGACGAAAGUGGUGGGACGAAAAUAAACCCGGAACGCAGACUACCAACUGAGACAUUAGGCGUGUGCGAGACUCGAUCGCGGGGUUUUCCUUGAUUUUUCGCGGCUAAGGGGAUGAUGGGAGGAAGUACCAAAGAAGUACCAAAAAAGAUCGGGUGAGGUGGGACGAAAAUAAAACCCGGAACGCGACCUACCAACUGAGACAUUAGGAGUAGAGACUAGUGUCUCCAUAACUUAGCCGCAGGUGCUCCAGUGUACACCAGGGGCGGAGCCAGCGUAUUGUUGUUGGGUUCAGUUGAACCCAACAAAAUUUGCCAGCUACGUGAAUGUACGUACAACUUAUUUAGCAUGAACCCAACAAAAAAUUAAGCCUGACCCCAUCAAGCUACCAAGCCCACGUCAAUGGACCAGUAAUAAAAGGUCUAAAAGCCCACCUACAAAUUGUCUUUCAUGCUCACGUCCAGGCAUGUUCGUUACUUAAUCAAUAAUCUCUACUCCUAAUGGAGCAGUUGGUAGUCUCGCUUCCAGGUUUUUUUUCGUCCCACCACUUUGGUCUGGUUUUUUUUCGUAGGUUAAUCGUCGUAGAUUUUUUUCGAUGCUGUUUUCUUAUUCACCGGUUUAUUUACCCCUCAGCUCUUUCUUUGCAAAUCAGCACUUUCCAAAUGUGCACGCAAUCACGGAUCUAAAUUUACUAACUUAUCCAAAACAACCGAUACCUUCCAUUAUUGCAAAUUUCUUUAGGAAACAAAUAAUAGAUUUUAAGGAAACAAAUAAUAGAUUUUGAGGAAACAAAUAAAAGAUUUUAAAGACGCAUCAUACUUUACUAACAAUCACUAAAAAUCAAAUCUAAAUUAAUUAACCUUACCUUAAAUCACUCAAUCACUUUAAUUAGAAAACAUUUUCUUUCCUAACUGCACCCCGCUUAGUUUGCACAUAACAAUCCGAAGUAAUUAGAGUCACAUGAUUGAAUCCAUUUAUUUAGAGCGACAUGAUUGAAUUCAUUUAUUAACAAUAAUCCUCACCAAAAGUGCGUUUACCAAUUUUAGAGGGCGGACCAAAACUCUGCCAUCCGCUCGCCCGCGUUUGUUUAGGUACAGGAAAAAAUGGCAUAAUAUAUGGAAACAACACGACCGGGGCGGCGGUGCAAUCUUUGGGGAUAGGGGAUCGAAGGAGAAGGACUGGCCUGACAGCAUGAUCGGGGUGCUUCCCCGCGGCCGCGGCCGUCGUCGCGAUGCCACCUACACGAAAUUAACGCUGCUCCCUGCCGUCAGCCGAGGCGACGCCGCCUGCCCUCCUACCCACGGUCCGCUGCCUCGUGCGGCUACGGCGGGAGGAGUAGCGACGGGGCCGAGGUCCUUCAUGCGUUCCGGGAUGGAGGCCAUGAUUUCGUCGAGGUCGUUGCUGCCUCCUACACUCAGGGUGUGUCGCCGAGAUCGAGGCGAGCAUGAGGAGCUGUGGCCACCGCCAUGGUCACCCCAUCGCACGGGAUGGAGCACGUCGUCGGCCUACACCUUGUGGAGAUCACUGUUGCUCUUCAGGUCGCGUGGUGACCGGAUCUUACCGAUGUGUCCCUCCCUGACGACCUCCUCUUCGCCCGGUUGGCCGGCAUGGAUCUCGCCACUGCUGCCCUCAACUUCUCUGCCUCGAGCUCGACGGUCAGCCACCAUGGAUCCCCCAGCUGGAGGGUCACGUGAACGAGCCGUCCUCCCAUGCUGCAGCGGCGAGAAGGUGACAUGGCUCUCCGUACACGAAGAGUGGAGUUCGGUCAAGUACUUAUAUACUUGGCCUCUACUGCUGAUCCAUGUACAUGGAGAAGAACAGACAACCGCUCAUUCAUGCUUCGUUCCACUCCUUUGCGCUACAUUACUGGAGGUGACAUUUUCCUAUCUCUUUAUGUUGUAACAAGCCUGCUGCCUGCAUAGUUAAUGGAUUUUUUAUUUAAAUUUAUCGCUGCUUAGUGCUUUGUUGCAAUUGUUCAUCCAAGAUUCUUAUAUAUAAUCUGAGCGUAUGUAGGCAUACUUAGCUUUGCUAUUCCAUUUUUUCCGGCGCAUAGAAAUAACAGUAUUGUCUAGGUUAGGUAUCCAAGAUUUCUCACAUCUGGUUAUAAUAUUUGUGAAGACGUGCAUUGCACGUGCACUUGGAAGCGGGCCCGUGGCCCGCGCUGGACGGCGCCGACGCCGACCCGAGCCACCUCGUCCGCGUAUUCUUGGAGCUGUGGCUGGUCGAUUUACAUGAAAUUAAUUCCCUCAGUUCUGGUGGCAAAUAUAAUACACAUAAUCCAUAUUGUUAUACACUAGCGUGUAUGUGUGAAAUAGAUGGAUCAUGGUCCCGUACCCAAUAAGAUGGAUAUGUGUGUGUGUUAGAGAGAGAGAGGGAGAGGGGGAUAGAGAGUGAGGAAGAGGGAGGGACAGUGUGUGUCUGUGUGUGUGAGGAUUUGAUGGUAAAAAAGGUCGCCAAUGUCGUAAUAUUGAACUCUUAAAGUUAAUGUGGCCCCGUUGCAACGCACGGGCGUUCUUCUAGUUUUGUUUAUUGGCGACCUAUAGCCUGUACGAUGACGGCAGCCGCCGUCCCCUUCGCUUCCCCAACUCGCCUCCCUCUGCUGGUCUCGUCCUGCCUCCCAUCGCUUGGUCCCCGCCUCCUCGAACGCCGGCGGCAAAAAGCGUGCAAUUGCAGAUCGGCAGCGGCAAGCACAUAACCUCAGUUCAAAUACGACGUUGUAAUCACAUCGCCACAUCUCUCCCUUCUUGUACAUGUUCUAUCUAUUAUGUACGGUAUUCUUUUUGCCCUAGUUUUCUAAUUGUUUUUCCAAUAGACUUUGAUUGAUCUAGGGUAUGGAACGAUGAUUUGAUGCGGGCUCCUCGAAGUCAUCCGUGGCUGCAAAUUAGUCUCCUGAAGAUUUCCAUUCAGAGAGAAACUAAUAUAGAUGAAUUGCCUUGUGAUUCAACUGAUCAGAAGAGAAUUUGAAAGUACACAAAAAAUCCUAAGAACCAAAAUAAUAUUGUAAACCAGGGGAUUCUGUAGGUCACCGUUUAUAUUUGUUUAUACACACAGGGAUAUUGUAGAUACUUACAAGUUACAUUGAUAGUGCGUGAGCAGAUGAAAGAUUUUCCAGUUUGGACGGGAUUAUGGAUCUUGCUAAGUUAAUGAUGCAGAUAAAUAAGCAUGUUAUUUUUCCUUUGGUCUAUCAGAUCUAAAGCUAGUUGAUAUUGCCAGUUGUCACAACAUCUGUGGAGAGAUACUUUUAGCUAUGAAUGUUGUCAUGAAAAAGUCGCGUAACAAAAUGAACGAUCAGUUCAUGAGUAAUUGUAUCUAAUUUGCUAUGUGGAGAAAGACAUGUCUGCUACCAUUGGCAAUGAUGAUGUGUUGGAUUGUUGGAAUAUAGGAUCAACAAGGGAAGCUCCGAAAUGUGAGUGACUUUACAUGAUUCUUUCGCAUGAUGGUACUUUCAUUUUAAGCAUGUCAAACUAACUUGUUAUUUGUUGCUUUAUAUAUAUAAAGCAGGGUGAGAUCCUUUUUCGAAGAAUUGACUUGUUAUUUCCUCACUGUUUUUAGGAAGAUCAGAAGUUGCACCUGAACCUAAGAAGGUACUUUGGUAUUACUAAGUGAUUUUAUAAUUUCAUCCAAUCGGUAUGUCUUGCACUCUUCAAUUUUAAUGAAAUACCUAUUUCUAAUAAGUGAUAUUAUAUUUCUAUUCAUUAUGCUUUGUUUGGGUGCUAUAAUCUUGUUGUUAUAUGGCGUAAAAUUAGACUAGUUCAUACAAAAUUUUCGUAACUAGUCAACGAAUGAACCCAAUGGCUAAAUUUUCUGGCUCCGCCCCUGGUGUACACAAAACAACAACGACCUUGGUAUUUAAAUUAUUACGAGGGGUCGUAUCACGACAUCAACCCUUCUAUCGUAAAACCAAACCCCAACACAUACUUGUAUUACAUUAAAUCGUUCAUUCAUUAUUAACAUGAACACCAUGAUGAUGUUUAUUGUUUCUAUGUCUGAGUAAACCCUCCUAGUUCUUGAGGAUAUGGAGGAACUAGUAUAUGUAUGAAUCGAACUUCAACAAGUACAUUAUUUUCUUUAUAUGUUUGUGUUAGUUGUUCUUAUGAUGUUGCAUGAAAUCGACCUCACAACAUUUACCUAUAUGGACUUGAAGUAUGUUACUAUCAUUGUCAUCGGAGAUGAGGAUAUAUUGCAGUGAUAAAAGCUAUCUCUCUCUCUUUUGCGGAACUACGAUAAGGGAAAUAAAGGGAGAUCUGAGAGUCUUAAGUUGUCCGUGAGGAGACCCUUAAUCAUCGUUGCCUUCACCCGUUAAGACCGUAAGAGUAGGGACGGUGGUGGCGUGCAUGAUACGGAGUUGUGGUUGUCUGCAAAUAUAUUUAUUUGGCUUCGCCCAAACAUAAACAUAUAUAAAGUGGAUUAGUAAUAUGAACCUAUAAUUGUGCAUUUUGAAGACAUUGAUGUUCGAUUAUAGAUCUUUUCGAUAAGUAAUAGUGUCACACUCAACAAGGAUUAGAAGGAAUUGGUCUAUAAAAAUUAGUACGAAAUCACUGUAAAAGCGGAAAAGAUUAUUUGAAUGUUUAUUUGAAUGAUAGAUCCUUAAUUAUAACAAUAGUAAAUUGUAACAAAAGCAAAAGGUGCAGCAAGUAACCCAAUCUUUAAUUGUUUUAAGGUCAAGCCGGUGGUGUUUCUUAUAUGUUAUAUGGAUCACAUCAUUCUCGAGGAUAACAAGUAUUUCACCAAGUUUUUUCACCUUGCAAUUAAUUUAACUUUCAUUGCCUUGAUAAUUGUUGUUUGGUGGAGCCUACACUUAUGUAUCGCCCUCAAUUGAACAACAUACACACUUAUGAUUAUAAUAUCUACGCAAGCAUCUACAAAUAUAACAAGAAUAAUUAAGACAAAUUUAAAUUUAAUCAUAAAAUUGAAAUUUAGGGUCCCAUUAACUCUUCUUGCAACAGUUCAUAAACUCUAGGCCCGGUAAUAUCUGCCAUCCCGACCAUCCAUCAUAAACAAAAUAAUCACAUAAUGCUCUUCGCCCUUUAUAGGUGAAGUGUGCAGUCGGUGUUCACCCAUCACCGCCAGAGAAUUACACCACAACAUAAUCUUAAAGCAUUAAACUCCAUUCAAUUUCACUUCCGCGUAACCGAGCUCUCGUGAUGAUCUUGUUGAGUAUUAGUGGCAACUGUAUGGGAGAUAGACUCCCAUUUUAUUCAAUAAAUUUUAUAUGUAUUUGUCUCUGAUUUGAACAAUUAUUUGCCUUUCGGAUCAUUUGUUGUUGUAUUAAUUAUUUGAAUUUAAACAUUUGUUGCAAUGGAGAUGAUUGCUGUAUUUGUAUGAUGCUAAAACAUUAAUAAGUUUGAUUUGUAUUGUGAUUCUAUUAAGUUUAUAUUUUUGAAAAUCAUGUUUUGGGAUGGAGAUGAUUGCUGUAUUUGUAUGGAGCAGCUUUGGGAUGCUUUUGCAUGUGUUUUUUUCUUUUUGGUUUCAAUAUUUUUUUUCAUCGGUUUUCAUUGGGUUGUCUUCUAUUCUUUUUUUCUUCUUCUUCUUUUUUUCUUUAUUCUUGUCAAAUACAUGUUGAUUUUUUUAAUACAAGUUGAAAACAAAAUUGUAUACUGAACAUUUUUUAAGUACAUGUUGAAUAUUUUAUUCAAAUACAUGUCGAACAUUUGUCAAAUGCACAAUGGACAUUUUUUUAGAUGGACGCUGAACAUUUUCCAAAUACACGAUGGACAUUUUUACGAAUAUAUGUUGAACAUUUGUCAAAUGCACGUUGAACUUUUUUUGAAUACACAUUUAACAUUUUCCAUAAUGACUUGAACAAUUUUAAAAACACGUGAAACAUUUUUUGUAUGUGUUACUUUCAUUUUUCUAAAUGUUACAAACUUCUUUUUUAAUGGUACGGAAUAUUUUUCCAAAAUCAUGAAACGCUUUUGUAGAUUGAAUAUUUUUAAUGCACAAUGAUUUUUUUAGAAAUUAUGAAAAUUCCAAAGUAAACCAAUAUAAAUAUAUUUAAAAUAUUUCAAGUAUAAACAAAACAAAAUAAAAAAUGAACGAAAAACAAAGAGCGAAAGAAGCAAAGAAAACAAACCAACCUGUGUUCCCCACAUUUGCUGUCGCCCGCACCACGCCCGCCUCCGCUGCCACCGCCGGUCCUCCCAUCCCCUCCGCCCGGCCUAACAUUCGCCGCCGCCGCCGCCUUCUCCUCCUCCUUCGACCGGCCCCCAGAUUCGCCUCCGUCGCCCUGAAGGAGGGCCGCCGCCGCCGCCGGCUCCUUCUGCUCCUUUGCCGCCAUUGAGAAUUUGAGAUCCAGGAGCCGGAGGGGACCUCACCAGCCCUAUUCUACUUCUCCGCCGCCGCCGUUGGGAGGUGGUAGCCCGCCUCUCCAAAAAAUAUUAGCCAGCUUCUCUCACUCAGAUUUGUUAUGGUUGUUCUAUAUAAUAAAUGGUGAUUAUAUUUCUUGUUGAUAACGUAUUUCUAGUGGCACAGAAUUGGUGGAUAUGAAUUCUUGUAAAAGAAAACAUGGGAAUUGAUAAGCACAUUUGGAUUUUGCCUUGUACUAGUUUGCUCAUGAGGACUGAUGAUAAUUUAAAUUUGAUGCCAAAGAUGAUGUGUUAUGUAUACAUCACUUUGCACCUUGGUUCGUGGCUUGCAUCUCAUAUCGAUUAGAAGUUUUUCAACUAGUGCAACCUACCAAACAAUAUCUGCUAAAUACAUCAUCUCUCUUACACCCUUAGUAGAUAGAAACAACCAAACAACAUCUCUGCUCAGCCUGCUCCAAAGCAUAUAGGCCACCAAACACACAUCUGAGCUUAUCUUUGCAUCAACUCAGCCAGGAUCCCAGCUACGAUGCAGGCUGGAGUAAUGUGAACAACCAGACACACCCUUAUUUUUCUGUUCCACGGUGCUGGAAUAUAGCAGGGAGAUGUUUAGACAUUUGCAUACUACUGUAGCUACUGAAACUUACAAAAGGUGCAGAAAUUGCUGUCUAUGACCGGCCCUAUUUGUUGCUGAUGCAGUUUUGCUGCUUGAUUCCGGAGUUCGUACGUCUUUUCUAAUGCCAAAAAAUGCGUUAUCUGCUUGUUUUGUCCAGUGUCGCAAUGCAAACUAUUUCUAAGUUGUCUGGUUGUUGCGUUGAUGCACAUAAUUGUUGAGGAGAGUCAUUUGCGGCGUUUGGCUAAAAUUGUAUGGCGAGUUUUAGCAGUGUCAUACUCGCUUUGUGUUUCAUAUAUGCAUAUUGAUAUGUAUUUCACCAUGCUUUUGGUAAUAAGCUAGCUUGAAUUUUCAACCUUGCAGGCAUCAUACAUAUAUUGAUUUGUUUGUGGUCAUUAGUCAAUAGCCAUACAGGGCUCCAUAUUUGAAAGGCCUGCCGCUUAUUUCCUUCUUUACCAAUUCUAAGAAGAUAAACUCGAACAUCUGUUAAACUUCACCUAAACUUCAUGUUAUUUUCCUGCAAAUUAUUUUAAUCAUAAUCUCUAUUCAGUUUGCCCUAUUGUUUUUAAAUGUGUCUGCAGAAGAAUUUGGUAUCUAGGUUUCCUCAAGAGACUAGAUUGCUUACUAUGGCUGAGGAAACCAAACCAAAGAAGCAAAAAGACGAGGAACACAUUAUAAACCGUCUCCCAGGAGAACUCAUUGAGCGGAUAUUUGUGAAGCUUCCAGUGAGCACUUUGUUGAGGUGUACUGGUGUCUGCAAGGAAUGGCACAAAAUCAUCUGAGAUCCCCAGUUUGUCACCUCUCACCUCCAGAAUGCGCCCCAAUGUGCUUUCCUAUUCUUUCCACAAGAGUCGAUCUCAGGACAGCUCUAUCCUGCUGAUGCUAUCCUGAUUGAUGAAACCUGGUCACAGUCGACAUGUGCAGUGCCAGUGGUUGGCCCUGGUGAUUCCCUUUGUGGUUCAUGCAACGGGCUUCUUUGCUUAUACACAAAGUCAUCAACACUCAAGAUAGCUAACCUUGCAACGGGUGAAUGUCUGCAUCUUGAUAAACCUGUAAAGAAUUUAAGGGGUGAUUACUUCUUCUUGUAUAACUUUGGAUUUCACCCAGUGACAAAAGAAUACAAGAUUAUACACUUCCUUGGUGAUUCUGUCGAGGGCUGCCCUCUCCAUAAUAAUAGCAGAUUCAGAGUUGUUCAAGUUUACACACUUGGUGAUGACAAAUGGAGAGAUAUUAAAACUCCAGAAGCCCUAAGUUUAAACUGUGUAAAAAACUCUGGAGCAGUUAAUAUUGGUGGAACAAUGUACUGGCUAGCUGAAGACAUGGUAGCUAGCUGGCAGCAUGCAGUUAUGACCUUUGAUCUCAGUAAAGAAAGUUUUGCACGGAUACAACUGCCAGCAACUGUACUCGAAGACUCUGCAGGUGAUGGGCCUCGUCGGUACUGGGUUAGAGAGAUUGAUGGGAAGAUAUGUAUAGCAACGGCUCAAACCUGUUCCUUUCAGCCCAGAAAGCUUGUUGGUAAGCUGCAAAUUUGGACACUUGAGAACAAAACGGAGCAAAGGUGGAGCCAGAAGUACAAUAUUCAGUACUCACCUGAUUACAUUCCAGGUCCAAAUUUGGUUCAUAGGGAUAAGAUCAUAUUGCAACGUCGUGAUCGUAACCUAUAUUCCUAUGAGUUGCUUGGUGACAACUCCAAUACUAAAUUGUGUAAGAUGGCAAAGCUGUUAGAUUUCAGGCCCCACAAGCCUGACAACAUGCAAUCCUACAUCUGUGUGAAAUCACUCAUACGCUUAGAUGUAUACAAGAAGGCUGGCAUUGUUCGUAGGCCAAAACAGCGGGAAGUGUGGGAAUUGAAGAAGUGGGAGGCGUGGGAGCACAAGCUCUCUGAGAAUGAAAGAAUAUGGACCGAUACUCAUCAAGACGAGCAUGAGGGAGCUGUAUGUAGGCUGAAUUCAAAUUUAGCUUAAUGAGAAUUUGUUGGAAAUAUUUAUAAUUUCUGCAUUGCUAUUUGAUAGGCACAUGCACAAUGCUAUCGCACAAUGAUCAAUGGUGUGCUGCCGCGUGUAUGGGAUGACACGAUUCAACUGGAAAUAGGCAUGAAAAUCAAUCAAAUAUUUCCGAACAUUCCAGAUCAGGUACUUCUUUAUCUAAAUGGAAGUCAGCAUACCUUUUAUUUUCAUAUUGAGUUUGAAUGGUCGACAAUCAUCUGAAAAGUAUAAUAUUUAAUGUUCUUUAAGUGUACCCUUAUUGUUGUUUCAACACAUUUCUUGCAUGAGACUCCAGCAGCCAAGGCCCCUCCGGCGGCUUAAUUGUGUGGCACGGAAGCAGGAUAGGGAAAAUUUAUUCGGUCGUGUGGAGAAUUGGAACAAUAUUGCGAAGGUAAUAGUGUUUCAAGUUUACAAGCCAGAUCAUAUGCAACUGUUCCUUAAGACAUGCCAAAUUAAUAAAGUUAACUUGUCUACAGGCUACGAGGGACGCAAGGCACAGUAUCUUUAGCAUGAUGGUUAAUGCUGUAUUAAAUCAGGUAAAGUUUUACAUUUGCUCUAAUUUAUUCAUGUUUUUCCUUUCUGCUGUAGCUCACUAGUUCUUGUCUCCUAUAUCUGUUUUAAUCUCUUCCGCAAUAAAUAGACAAAUUAGCUUCUUUUGAAAUAUAAGCGAAGUACCUGUAUUAUCUCCUUUCAUACAAGUGAAUGACUUCCCCUCUAAUACAAUUAUUUUCCAUCCCAUAUUUUAAUGUAUGCAUACUUGUGUACUUUAGUUCCUUUUCCUUGCUGUGCAAGUUGUCUAGUUACUGUGUUCAUUACGCUGUUAAGUAGCUAGCCCACAGUCAACAUAUUUUACAUCAAUAAGAAAUAUUUUUUAUCGAGGUUAACAUAGGCACCCUAAAUUUGUGAACUGGGUUUGAUUGCAAAAUACUUUGCGUGUCGAUUCCUUCCUUAACUUGUAUUUUCAGAUUUGCAUAAAUAUAGGUCCUAUCAAGCUAUUGAUUUUACCACCUUUGAAUCGAUGGUAUUGUCUGCAGUUCCAUUCUUGCACAUUUGCUGGUGCACUAAGUGAAUAAUGAUAAAUUGGGCAUAGCUGUGCAUGGAAUUAAAAGAUACUUUGGUUGCUGUCAAGUAAUGUAGUGGAGCGGUACUUACAAUUGUUCAACAUCCUACACCUUUAUAUAGUAGACAUAUUAGCACACGAAGAGUUAAGGAACAUUCAGAAUAUGAAGCAUGGAUUGAUUGGUAAACGUCAAAAUUUCCAUUCCCCAUUUUCUGUUUUGAGCUUUGAAUUUGAAAUUUAACGGCAUUGUAAAACAGUCCAUGCACCUUUUUCUUUCGAGGAAAAGAAAACAAUGAUGCUAUGCUCUCCUCAAAUGUGAAUUCUACACUUCCCCUGACUUGCGAUGAAAGUAUAUUGUCUUGUACUUGAACCCUACUCAUGUUUCAGAUUGGCGCGUCGAGUUCAGAUGCUGGCAUUUCUUCUCAGAAUCGCAGCGAGGGCGAUGAUGUGAAGAUUUGAUACUUGAGAGCUUAUCGUCGCAUUCUUCUCCAGCUCGCCGGCUGUUGUUCAACUCUUGUUUGUUUGUACCCCGAGGGAACGCUUAGCUGUUUCACCUGUAAAACAGUGAUAUCUGCAGUACCAUCUAUGCGCUGUCAUGUUUUUGUCCAUUUGAAUUCAUGAUAUUUAUGGCACUUAAACAUAUUGGUCAAUUUGAGAUGUCGAAGAAUCUGCGGGGCAGCAAGACAUUUGAUCUGAAGAUCAAACUAACUCCUGCCACCGAGUAUGUAUUGAAGAUCUACAGAAUACUUGGAAGUGCGAACCUUGUAGUUGCACUAUAAUCUUCUAUCUAUGGAUGAAAGCAAAACCUUUCAUAUUGCCUCUCAAGUCUGAACUGACUGCUCAAGGCCGGUACAAAUGGGUGAAUGAGGACGCUCCCCAAGGACAUUUGAUUUUUUUUUCUUUUAUUGCAAAAUCAGCAUCAAACAGCCCCACCUAAGAUGGAAACCAAAGCAACUAAGAAUGCUAACAAAUUGGGGUUCCAAGAACAGCCAAUACCCCUCACGAACGCAUCUCCGAAGGAAUUGCUGCGCCUGCGCUCGAAAGAAAUUUGGCAUGGGAAAACCAAGUAUAAAAGGAUUUGACUUGUGAAAAACCUAAAAACCGAAGGUGUCAGGUACCUUCGGCCUCUUUGAACUGAAGAAGACGAAAAAAGUCCCACGAGUGAAGGCGUAUCCGUUCCGAACCUGGCCGCUGCACCACACUCUCCCUAUCUAUGAAACGAUGGCGUAAUCUCAUCUUUUAUUUCUCUCAUCUUGCGCCGGCGCGGAAGAGUUCAUCUGAGUUCGCCCGUGAGUCUCCCCUCCCCUCCCCUAGCUCCGGAUCUCGGUUUUCGCUCCCUCUACCUUUCUGUAGUCGCGCUUCUUCUGCAUCACGCGCCUUGAUCCCGUAGGGAAUUAAUACAAGUCGUUAGGGUUUGCAACCUGCGAGGGAAAAACAUCAAUCCGUCGGAACCUGGCAGUACCAUCUAUGAAAUUCAGUCGAGUACGAAAUAUUGGCGGCGGCCUAUUACUAGGUAGCAGUACCAUGUCUUUUAUUUGUGUAUAUAGUUAGACUAGAUUCAAAGAUUAUGGAUCAUGGAUUGCUUGACGAACCUCUUCGGUAUAGUCAUAUAAAGUCAUAUAAAGAAGGAUAAUGUUGAGGGCAUAGCGAUUUCUUCAGCUCCUGUUUUGAUCCCAAAAUGUUUCAAAAUUACGAUGAAUGAUCUUUCUUUCAUGUAUUUUCUGCAGAGUUUAUUCAGUCUCUGGGUUCGUUUGGCUUGCCAGUCCGUGAAAUGGUUGAUUGCCCAAGGAUCUGGUAGCUCUCUCACUGUGGCUUCGACGCAAGUCGUGGCGAUGAAGCCAACAAAGAAGAAACGCCUGACCUGGUUGCCGCAAGAUAUCAUCGAACUGAUACUUGUGAGGCUUCCGGUGAGCAACCUGCUGAGGUGCCGUGUUGUCUGCAAGCAGUGGGAUGGCAUCAUUCGGGAUCCGCAGUUCACCAUGGCACACCUCCGGCACGCGCAGCGUCGCCCCCUUUUAUUCUUCCAACAAGACGGGUCUUCAGGCAAGCUCUGCCCUAGCGAAGCAGUCCUCUUUGACGAGGCCUGGUCGCCAUCGAAAUGGGAUGUGCCCGUGGUUGAGCCUGAUGAUUUCUUGUGCGGUUCGUGCAACGGUCUUCUUUGCUUGUACUCGAGCAAAUCGACCAUCAAGAUUGCCAACCUCGCCACCGGUGAAUGUAUGCACCUCGCCAAACCCGUUAAGAUGUACUCGACGGGUGAUCACCCUUCGUUCUACAGCUUUGGUUUCAGCCCAGCUACAAAUGAAUACAAGGUCUUGCACUUUCUUCCGGGCAAUGAGCACCACCAUGUCGGUGGUUCCUUCAGUGUCAUUCAAGUUUACACGCUGGGUGAUGAGCAGUGGAGGGUUGUCAGAACUGAACAAGCUCUGAGCUUGUACUGUGUGAAACAAAGUGGAGUUGUCAAUGUUGACGGAGCAAUGUACUGGCUAACCCAUGACAAAGAAAGCAGCUGGCGACGGGCCGUCGUAUCCUUUGAUCUCAGAGAUGAAUGUCUAAAAUUAAUACGGUUGCCCGAAGUUGAUUUUGCGGAUCCUGCAUUUGGUAAUCCGUUUCUUUACUGGAUCACGGAGAUAGAUUCCAAGGUGUCUGUGGCUGCUGUUCAAGUCAGAAGAGAUACCGGGCUUACAGGGAAGCUGCAUAUUUGGACACUUGACAACAAGACAGAGCAAAGCAGCUGGAUCCAGACGUAUAGUAUUGAGUUAUCAACACUUAAAGUUCUUGGACCACAUUUCAUCUACGGGGAUAAGAUUAUCAUGCAUAGUGUUAACGGCGGCAUAUAUUGCCAUGAACUUACGAGCCAGCGCUUUACAAUCGACGUAACCAAGUUAGGGAAGCUGUUACUUUUCAGCCCCCGCUGUGGCUACCGGAGUAUUCAAUCCUGUAUGUAUGUGAAGUCACUUGUGCGGUUGGAUGCAUACAAGAAGGCUGGUAUCGUGCGCACGCCAAAGCGAAAAGAGGGUUGGAAAUUGAAGAAGUGGGAGGCGUGGGAACACGACCGUUCUGAGAUAGAAGAGCUGUGGAGAUCCGCCCAUCGGAUUCAGCAAAGGAUGCAUGUAUGAUAGCUGCACUUCCCUUAUUAACCUAUAUAGUACAGUAGUAUAUGUUUCAUUACUGUUGAAGAUUUGAGUGUGACACACUGUAAUAACCCUUGUUGGCAGGAAAUGGCACAUGUGAUCGGCGCAGCCAUCAGUCUGAACUUGCCUGCACCACCAGAUCAGGUAAACUUAUCCUUCCGCGUCGAAUUGAAAGUUAUCAAGAUUUUUACACAUUGGAUCAACAUUUUUCAGUUAAUUUUGGAGUGAGGAUUCUUAAUUAGAACUGCCUGAUGUGAGUGUAGCAGGAUAGCCCCCACCGACGGCUUAAUUGGGUGGAGCAGAGGCGGAUGACGGACAUGCUGGAGUCUCAUGUUGAUAGUUUGGAUGCUCAAUGGAAGGUAUGGUGUGGAGGUCUUCUUUGAGCAGAAUCGUUUGCUGUUUGUCUGAUGUUGUGAAAUUGACAUAUUAUUUAUAGGUCUUAGUCCAGGCAGCUGACGCCUUCAGUGUUGAGAGCAAGAAGAUGAUCCCAGCGGCAGACCAGGCAAAGGUUUGUGAUGGCUCUACUAGCUUCCAGUUACUCUAGUAGCCUCCCUGUUGUUGUUACUUGUUUCCUUCCAGUUAUAGUAUUCAAAUAAGUAAGUUAAUGACUUGCUGUUCGGGUAUAUCAGUAUGAUGGGACUCACUUUUGUAACAUGUGCUUUUCAGUAUAAAUUUAAUUAAUAGAUACAUAGCACUGGUCUGCAGUCUGCUAAAAGUUUGAAGUAGAUAUUUUGAUUCAUCUUGGAAACAUCGAAAUUAGACACACAUAAAGUUGAAGCCCUGCACCAUAUGUGUUAAUUUACUUCAGCAAAGAGUAGGGACCUUCCUGGUUUUAGAACUAUUUGAAUACUAUAAAUCAUGCCAUUUUACAAGAUUGUAGAUCAGCAUUUGCAUACCUAUUUUUUUUAAAGAUCUGUAUGCUUUUUCUUAGAACAGUAUCCUUUGUUUGGCAGCAGAGAAAUGGAGAGGAGAGCGAGGCUGGGUCAUCAAGGCCCAAGGGAAGCCCAGCUCCAGAUUUGAUUCGUCGACGUGGACAACCUGAUUCGGCAGCGCCGGCGGCCACCACCAUAUUAACAGAGAAGUAUGAGAAAUUAUACUUAAUUAGUAGAAUGCAAGUGCGUUGCCAUAGGCAUUUUAAAAAUCUUGCUGGUUCAUCAUGACCGUGUUCCACUAAAAGAAUAUGAGGUUUCCCAAAAAAAAAGGAGCUUUAUGGACAUAGGAUAUUCCUCAUUCCAAUUAAUGUCACUAAAUAUCUGAGGUUUAUGGAUAUAUGAUAUUCCUCAGUCCUCAUUCCAAUCAAACCAUGGGUAAGUGCAAAAAGUUAAUGAAUCUGAGUUGAGUGAAACAAGGAAGGAUCAGAUGAAUGAACGAAUGAAUCACGCACAUGUUGUUCAUCAGUUCUUCUCGACCUGAAAAUGGAACCCAAUAUGUUGUCGUUGCAACAUUGCAUUGCUCCACGGGAACCGAUCAGCCUCCUCGCUAGUGCCGGCUGCCGGCCUCAACAUCUCCCGUGACAUCUCUCCGCUAGCUCGGUGACGAAGCCAUGUCCACCAUGUUUCGCUCCAUCUUACGUUAUUCCUCAUCAUAACAUAAGUACUACUAUUGAAGCAUGCAUAUCAGUAAAAUAUAGGAAUGGAUCUAGUACAGCAAUAUCUACACAACAAAGUUUGUUUUGCAAAAGAACUUAUAUGCUUGCCUUCCCGAAACCAAUUAAACAAUCUGCCACAUGCUGAUCGAACCCUUUGGUCUAUACACAAAUUAUAGUAAUUAAAAAAAAGUUGGGCGCGUCUCCCCAAAUUUCCAAGGGGAAGUGACAAAAAACCACCGUCUUAUGCUUGUCCGCUUGAUCGGUCCACCUCUCCACGUGUCACGAUCUUACAACAGAUGGAUGGUUCUUGUGCGGCUGCUUGAGCGCGCUUGAUAACGCGUGUGUGCACCGCCCAGCAUUUGGGUAGAAUUUUUUUGCCUACAGCAAAGUUCUCUGUGCCAGUGUGAGUUAAAUGUGCCUACAUUUCCAGGGCUUUGUUACAAAAAGAGGACAUUCUGAUUAUAAAUGAAGUUGCUCAUAUAAUAUGUAGUAGUAGUUCCCCUGUAUUGUCCAAAGUAAAAAUUGUAGGCACAUCAAGCUGCUGCAAUUAAAAAGAGAAGUUGCUCACAGAUCUUUAUUUACUGACCGCUACCCCAGAUCUCACGCGCUCCUUUGACCUAGCCAGCCGCCCCUCCAAAAAGCUAGGGUACUCUACCUCCCGCCGGCGCCGGCGCCGGUCCGUCCCGUCUUCGGUGGCCUUAGGGCCAUGGAGGCGGAGUGGAUCUCGCUCCUUGCCGGUGGGAGGGCUCUGUUUUUAGAUCUUUUUUCGAUCUUUGUUAGGAUUUGCGUCCUACUCAGGAAGGCGAGACGGCGGCGGCUCCCUGAAGAUGGAAUAAAGGUCUCCCCGCCUAGCCCCCGUUCCGGUGAUGUGUUCAGCAUCAUCGGUGGGCGUGUUGAGUUGUGUCUCCGGCUGAUCUGUGCUUGGUGGAUUUGCUUGGAUCUGUUUGUCGUUCGUCUUCGUUCAUGUGUCUUCAGGUUGGAUCCUUUUAAUCUACACUCUUCAUCUGCGGGGGUUGCUGUUCUGGUGCGUUGGUUCUAUGGGGCCUUAGCACGACGACUUCCCGACUGUCUACUACAACAAGGUUUGCCCGGCUCCGAUGAGGGAGGGGCGAUGGCAGGGGCGCGCCUUCGGCUCGCUUCAGUGCUUGUAGUCGUCGCUAGGUGGUCUACGGAUCUGGAUGUAAUUUUUAUUAUUUCUAGUAUUCGUUAUACUACCAUGAUUGAAGAUGAAUAGAUUGGAAGUUUUUCCCGCAAAAAAAAAAACUAUUAAUGGAACUACCUUUGUUUCAUGCUGGUUAUGCAAAAAAAAAAAACUCUCGCUGGUGGUGCGUCUUAUAAAUCUUUUUGCUUACUAAAAUUUUCCUUUUUGUUUUUAAAAUUCCCAGAUGUCUGGGCUUGACCUGAAUAUGCUCCCUGAUGACUUGGCUAAUUGUAUUGUCUAAAAAAACAUAUUCUAUUGCCAGAACUUAACUGAAAUGUUGCCUACCUCCACUAUGUUUCUGCAAAAACAUAUUCUAUUGACUGCAAAAACACAUUGUAUUUGCCAAUACAUAUUCUAUUGGCUGGACCUUACUAUGUGGCCUAACAAUUAUUCAGAAAAAUGUUCAACAGCAGAAGCGAUAAACCAAUCUUUUGACUGAACUUAACUGAAAUUUAACGACACUAACAACAGCAGCAGGGGUUUGCAGAAAAAGAACUUGUGCUGGUACAAAAAAUACUAGAGAGAUCAACUUCAUAACUCCCACUGGCAGCAAGAGAUCAAGACUAAAAGAACACAUCGCAUUGCCUGCAAAAACAUAUUGCAUUGCCUAUAAAAGAUGGCAGGUGCUUUGUGUGUUUUCCGUCAGUUGAUAUAAAAUGUAGGCAAGUACUGAAACACAUUGUUGCCUCCUCUAGAAAAGAGGCCUGAAAAUCCACAGUUAUUGCCUAGCUAUCGGAGUUGUUCACUAGUAGAAAAAGGGUCUAAUGUGAGACACAUUAGUGUGGGUUUGAAGUUGGCCCGGCACUAAAGGCACCAUAUGCAUUAGUACCGGUUCGUGUUGAGCCUUUAGUACCGGUUCGUGCCACGAAUCGAUACUAAAGGGGUAGUGGCAAGCUGGCGUCAGGCCGGGUCCCCACGAGCCCCUUUAGUACCGGUUUGUGACACAGACCGAUACUAAAGGUCUAACAUAUAGUAUCGGUUCGUGCCACGAACCCACACUAAAGGGGGCAAGCCUUUAGUGUGGAUUUGUGCCACGAACCCACACUAAAGGNNNNNNNNNNNNNNNNNNNNNNNNNNNNNNNNNNNNNNNNNNNNNNNNNNNNNNNNNNNNNNNNNNNNNNNNNNNNNNNNNNNNNNNNNNNNNNNNNNNNNNNNNNNNNNNNNNNNNNNNNNNNNNNNNNNNNNNNNNNNNNNNNNNNNNNNNNNNNNNNNNNNNNNNNNNNNNNNNNNNNNNNNNNNNNNNNNNNNNNNNNAAAGAAAAUGAUAAAAACUUCAAAAAAUAAAAUCCUUCGAGAGGUAGUUAUAUUACUACAUCUACUAGUUAGGAAAAUUUGAAAACUUAAAUUUGGACAUGUUUUGCAAAAAAGUGGAGGAAAAAUGUAAAACGGCUAUAAUUUUUGCAUACGAUGUCGGAAAAAAAGUAUAAUAUAUCAAAAAAUUCAGCACAAAAAUCCGCAUCCGAUGGAGACUGCCUACGGCCUGUUUGCAAUUUUUUAGAAUCCUCAAAUUCCAAUAGAAAAAAAGAUAUGGUCAAAUUUUAAUUUUUUUUUAAAAAUUUGGUUAAAUCUGGUCAAACUACUUAUUCAAGAAAUAUUAAUGUUACUACAUAAUUAUUCAAGAAUAUUAGUGUUACUAAAUAAUUAUUUCAAUUUUUUGAAUUUUGGUCAAAUCUGGUCAAACUAUGGUCAAACUGUGGUCAAACUUAUUCAAGAAAUAUUAGUGUUACUAAAUAAUUACUGUUUUUUAGAAUAAUAGUUUCAAACUCAAACGGUGAAACAUGUGACCUAAUGCUCAAGCUAAACUGCUGAGGGUUAAUAGGAUUGACAGCUUACAUUUGUCAUGAAAACAACAAGUGCAGACUUGGAAUAUAGGGGGAAUAAAACUCCGAAGUUAAGCGUGCUCAGGCUGGAGGAGUGAGAGGAUGGGUGACCGGCCGGGAAGUUAGGCGAUUUGGAAUGAGUGAUCCACACUUGAGCAGUUAAGAGAGGUGAUUAGAGACUAAAUCAUCAAAUAAUUCAGAAAAAUUAAAAAUAAAAAAAAUCCAAAAUUUUCAAAAAAAAAAAUCAAAAAAAAAACCUUUAGUACCGAGCUCACAGCACGUGGUGGCACUUUAGCGCCGGUUCGUGCCAAACCGGUGCCGGUUAUGGAACCGGCACUAAAGGCCCUUACGAACCGGUUUUAAAGCUCCGUUUUCUACUAGUGGUUUUACAUCUUCUAAUUGCCUAUAAACACUGCAUGUUAUUGCCUACAUCCCUGGGAUCGGAUAGGAAGGCGAUAGGAAUUGUUGCUUACCACCCAAAAUCCAAUCGACUAUGAUCUACUGCGCCCCCUCCCCAUCGACAUGACUCUGCGUGUUGCACCUCUAAAAAAUCCACUCCUAAUCCAAAACGAAGGGCGUGUGGAUUUGUGCGCGGGAGACAAAUGUAAGCCCUCUAGCUGUAGAUUGCUGCUGGAAUUUGAGUUUUUGCUUAGGGGGGCGCAAAUCGGGGAGGAGGAGGAAUCCUAAUUUUCCUCCACCUCCUUGUGGUGACCGGAUUGGCGGAGGAUUCCUCCCAAUUCGGUUUGGCCUCUUGCACCUUUCCUUCUUCCCUGUGUGUGUGCGCGCGCGCAUCCAUCUCCUCCAAAGCACAUCAAAUCUUGGAGGUCCUCUCCACAUAGCUCCACGCUCUCUCGGUCUAAAGAUUUAGAAUCCCAAUUAGAUAAACUCCAAAUUAGACAAGAAGCGCCGCUAGGCUUUCUCCCUUUCUAGUUUUUUUGGUGUUCAUAUUAUUGGACAUCGGAUCUUUGUUGGAUUACUUCUUUGGAACCCAUGUAUACCUCGGUGGGAUCGUCUACUUCAGCUCUUGUUUCAGAGAAAAUUUUUUGUUUUUGCACCGGGCGGUAUAACCUAGUUGUGGGAAUCAUCAUGCUUCACCAACUUCUUAACCA
rnacentral:lncRNA from 1 species